AACGAACGCUGGCGGCGUGGAUAAGACAUGCAAGUCGAACGGGAGAAUUGCUAGCUUGCUAAUAAUUCUCUAGUGGCGCACGGGUGAGUAACACGUGAGUAACCUGCCUCUUAGUGGGGGAUAGCCCUGGGAAACCGGGAUUAAUACCGCAUACGAUUGAAAGAUCAAAGCAGCAAUGCGCUGGGAGAUGGGCUCGCGGCCUAUUAGUUAGUUGGUGAGGUAACGGCUCACCAAGGCGAUGACGGGUAGCCGGUCUGAGAGGAUGUCCGGCCACACUGGAACUGAGACACGGUCCAGACACCUACGGGUGGCAGCAGUCGAGAAUCAUUCACAAUGGGGGCAACCCUGAUGGUGCGACGCCGCGUGGGGGAAUGAAGGUCUUCGGAUUGUAAACC
rnacentral:rRNA from 1 species